UGCCUAGCAACUCCUAUCCCUCCUCCUCGUGGUACCGGCCUGAAACUAUGAGCAACCUUAGGGAAGAUCGGGUAACCAAUCCCGGCGGGAACUUUGGUCGUAGGCUGACCCUUAGGGAAGAUCGGGUAACCAAUCCCGGCGGGAACUUUGGUCGUAGGCUGACAGGGAAGG
rnacentral:ribozyme from 1 species